AAGAUGGCAGAAGAGCAACCCGCGAGCCACUGCUGUGUCUGUGCGCAUCAACUACAGACUGCAAGCUCAAUGAGUCCCUGUUUUGAAACAAGAGAAUGAAUGAAAGCGUUGAGUUCAGCAGCCAUGAGAUUCCCUACCGUCACAGCUCACAGGACUGAAGGAGGACAGGAAGAUGGCAGAAGAGCAACCCGCGAGCCACUGCUGUGUCUGUGCGCAUCAACUACAGACUGCAAGCUCAAUGAGUCCCUGUUUUGAAACAAGAGAAUGAAUGAAAGCGUUGAGUUCAGCAGCCAUGAGAUUCCCUACCGUCACAGCUCACAGGACUGAAGGAGGACAGGAAGAUGGCAGAAGAGCAACCCGCGAG